rnacentral:rRNA from 1 species
AUAGAAUACCAAUUGCGAAGGCAGAUCACUAACAAUAUAUUGACGCUGAUGGACGAAAGCGUGGGUAGCGAACAGGAUUAGAUACCCUGGUAGUCCACGCCGUAAACGAUGGUUACUAGCUGUUCGGUACGAUUAAGUACUGAGUGGCCAAGCGAAAGUGAUAAGUAACCCACCUGGGGAGUACGUUCGCAAGAAUGAAACUCAAAGGAAUUGACGGGGGCCCGCACAAGCGGUGGAGCAUGUGGUUUAAUUCGAUGAUACGCGAGGAACCUUACCAGGGCUUAAAUGUAGUCUGACAGCUUUAGAGAUAGAGUUUUCUUCGGACAGAUUACAAGGUGCUGCAUGGUUGUCGUCAGCUCGUGCCGUGAGGUGUCAGGUUAAGUCCUAUAACGAGCGCAACCCCUGUCGUUAGUUGCCAGCAUGUUAUGAUGGGGACUCUAACGAGACUGCCUACGCAAGUAGUGAGGAAGGUGGGGAUGACGUCAAAUCAUCACGGCCCUUACGUCCUGGGCCACACACGUGCUACAAUGGCAGGUACAGAGAGCAGCCAUGCCGCAAGGCAGAGCGAAUCUACAAAACCUGUCACAGUUCGGAUCGGGGUCUGCAACUCGACCCCGUGAAGCUGGAAUCGCUAGUAAUCGGAUAUCAGCCAUGAUCCGGUGAAUACGUUCCCGGGCCUUGUACACACCGCCCGUCAAGCCAUGGAAGCUGAGGGUGCCUGAAGUCGGUAACCGCAAGGAGCCGCCUAGGGUAAAAUCGGUAACUAGGGCUAAGUCGUAACAAGGUAGCCGUACCGGAAGGUGCGGCUG